rnacentral:rRNA from 1 species
CAGCCGCCGCGGGAAUACGGAGGGAGCUAGCGUUGUUCGGAAUUACUGGGCGUAAAGCGCGCGUAGGCGGUUACUCAAGUCAGAGGUGAAAGCCCGGGGCUCAACCCCGGAACUGCCUUUGAAACUAGGUGACUAGAAUCUUGGAGAGGUCAGUGGAAUUCCGAGUGUAGAGGUGAAAUUCGUAGAUAUUCGGAAGAACACCAGUGGCGAAGGCGGCUUACUGGCUCAUACUGGACGCUGAGGUGCGAAAGCGUGGGGAGCAAACAGGAUUAGAUACCCGUGUAGUCCCUGUCUCUUAUAA